rnacentral:rRNA from 1 species
CCGGUGGUCAAAACCGGAGGAAGGUGGGGAUGACGUCAAGCCUCAUGGCCCUUAUGACCAGGGCUACACACGUGCUACAAUGGCCGGUACAAAGAGUUGCGAUACCGCGAGGUGGAGCUAAUCUCAUAAAGCCGGUCUCAGUUCGGAUUGGAGUCUGCAACUCGACUCCAUGAAGUUGGAAUCGCUAGUAAUCGCGGAUCAGCAUGCCGCGGUGAAUACGUUCCCGGGCCUU